GUUAUUUUGUUUCGCUCGGGCGGGCAAUUUACUCCGUUCGCGGCACAAAAGAACCGAUUUGUUAAGUAAGUUAUUUUUAGAAACCUGCUGCCCCUUUUUUAGUUGAGCAUAGUAAUAGUGAUAUGGCGCUAUAUCUCCUCAUUACUAUGGAUCACUUGUAAUCCACUGCCAUCGAGGUUUUCCAUACUCCGCCAAAGGAAUACACACGAGCCCACUGCUUAUGCUAGAAAUAUGGAAAUUCGCCAUGCGAAAUUCACUCACUGUGUGGCUAAUUUACACUACAAAUAUAUGGGCAAACUUGGAAAGAAGACUUAGGAGCGAUAUCACAGGGAGUAAU